rnacentral:rRNA from 1 species
GUGAGUCAUCGAGUCUUUGAACGCAUCUUGCGCUCCUUGGUAUUCCGAGGAGCAUGCCUGUUUGAGUCUCAUCAAGUUCUCAACCAUACCUCGGUGUGGCUUGGAUCUGGGGGUUUUUGCAUGGCUUCAAAGAAAGUCGGCUACCCUCGAAAGCCAUUAGCGGUGUCCGAGUACCUUUGGUGUGAUAAAUAUCUAUGCCUUGGUGUAUACGAUGCAUGCUGCUUCUGAACUUGCGUCUUGCGCAUUUUAUUGACAAAUUUGACCUCAAAUCAGGUAGGAUUACCCGCUGAACUUAAGCAUAUCAAUAAGCGGAGG